GGAUGUAGAUAUAUUAUGUUUUGAAGGUGAGUAGAUUUUGUUGUUGAGUUGAUUGAGCUUCUUGUGCUUGAGUAAAAAUUAACACAAAAUAGUCUCUUUAUAGCAAUUAAAUUUGAAAGAUAGCCACAUUUGAUUCUAUUAGAUUUACAUUCAUCCUUUCUUGAAAUUUAAUGUAAGAGAGGUGCUUAAUUGGAGCAAAUUCUAUCAAAUACCAAUCAAGCAAGAAAAAUAGCUUUUUCUUUUAUCUAUACUAGAAUUUCUUUAAACAAGUUUGGAAAUAGCUUGGAAUUAGAUAAAAAUGACAAGGUGUGUAGCCUUGGAUAUGGUGUUCCAAAAUAUUGAUUGUACAAGUACUAAAGUAUCUUCCAUUUGGAACACGUCUAAUCCUAAACAACAACUUAAUCUAAACUAAUAAAGUAUUUUAUAA
rnacentral:lncRNA from 1 species